rnacentral:rRNA from 1 species
UAGGGAAUCUUCCGCAAUGGGCGAAAGCCUGACGGAGCAACGCCGCGCGAGUGAUGAAGGUCUUCGGAUCGUAAAACUCUGUUAUUAGGGAAGAACAUAUGUGUAAGUAACUGUGCACAUCUUGACGGUACCUAAUCAGAAAGCCACGGCUAACUACGUGCCAGCAGCCGCGGUAAUACGUAGGUGGCAAGCGUUAUCCGGAAUUAUUGGGCGUAAAGCGCGCGUAGGCGGUUUUUUAAGUCUGAUGUGAAAGCCCACGGCUCAACCGUGGAGGGUCAUUGGAAACUGGAAAACUUGAGUGCAGAAGAGGAAAGUGGAAUUCCAUGUGUAGCGGUGAAAUGCGCAGAGAUAUGGAGGAACACCAGUGGCGAAGGCGACUUUCUGGUCUGUAACUGACGCUGAUGUGCGAAAGCGUGGGGAUCAAACAGGAUUAGAUACCCUGGUAGUCCACGCCGUAAACGAUGAGUGCUAAGUGUUAGGGGGUUUCCGCCCCUUAGUGCUGCAGCUAACGCAUUAAGCACUCCGCCUGGGGAGUACGACCGCAAGGUUG